UACGUAGGGACCGAGCGUUGUCCGGAAUCAUUGGGCGUAAAGAGCGUGUAGGCGGCCACUUAAGUCCUGCGUGAAAUCUUGCGGCUCAACCGCAAGCGGUCGUGGGAAACUGGGUGGCUAGAGUGUGGGAGAGGAGAGUGGAAUUCCUGGUGUAGCGGUGGAAUGCGCAGAUAUCAGGAAGAACACCCGUGGCGAAGGCGGCUCUCUGGAACAUUUCUGACGCUGAGGCUCGAAAGCGUGGGGAGCAAACAGG
rnacentral:rRNA from 1 species